rnacentral:lncRNA from 1 species
GAAUCACCUUUGGUUGCUGAAGCAUCCAAAGUGGAAGAACUCUCAGAGGAAACGGAAGUUAAAUCACCAUCUUCUUCUGUGGCUAAACCUAUAACAGUAAGAGGGCAGGAGGAAAAUUCCUGACUAUGACCUGGAUUUCUCCUACUCUCUUAGCCUCUGGAGUAGGGAUAACUCAAUUCAACUUUUCUGCUCUGACUUGUAUUUUGAAGGCCAAGGAAACAAGGCCCAUGCACGCAUGUGCGCGCGCACCUCCCCACCCCCCACACACACUCAGGUUCAUUGUUUUCCCAAUUCCCCAGCAGUUCACAUAUUUCUGUAGACCAAGUCCUUUCCAGUAUCCCCACAAUCUUUUUUCAGAGGCUAUCUUACCAUGAUCUCACCAAGCCCAUGGCAGGAUAGCCCUUCACAAGUUUCUUCCUAAGGAUUCCUCAACCUGCAGAGCUAAAGACUUCUGUCCGAUCUGGGAAUCUACUGCCUUUCUCAGCCAUUUGGACAGUACCAAAAAAAUAUCUAGA